GAGGGUACAGCUCAAGUGGUAGAGUGCGUGCUUUGCAUGCACGAGAUCCUGGGUUCAAGCUCCAGUACCUCCU
rnacentral:tRNA from 1 species